UUAAAUUGAAGAGUUUGAUCAUGGCUCAGAUUGAACGCUGGCGGCAGGCCUAACACAUGCAAGUCGGACGGUAGCACAGAGGAGCUUGCUCCUCGGGUGACGAGUGGCGGACGGGUGAGUAAUGUCUGGGGAUCUGCCCGAUAGAGGGGGAUAACCACUGGAAACGGUGGCUAAUACCGCAUAACG
rnacentral:rRNA from 2 species